rnacentral:tRNA from 1 species
AAGAGUGUAAGAAAAAAUUUAGCUUCUAACUAAAAUUUAAAGCGGUUAAAUUCCGUUUAACUCUUU